CAGUAGCCACGGGAAUACGAAGGGUGCAAGCGUUAAUCGGAAUUACUGGGCGUAAAGCGUGUGUAGGUGGUUGUUUAAGUCUGUCGUGAAAGCCCUGGGCUCAACCUGGGAAUUGCGAUGGAUACUGGGCGACUAGAGUGCGGUAGAGGAUAGUGGAAUUUCCGGUGUAGCAGUGAAAUGCGUAGAGAUCGGAAGGAACAUCUGUGGCGAAGGCGACUAUCUGGGCCAACACUGACACUGAGACACGAAAGCGUGGGGAGCGAACAGGAUUAGAUACCCCUGUAGUCCCUGUCUCUUAUAA
rnacentral:rRNA from 1 species